ACAGAGGUCCCAAGCGUUGUUCGGAUUCACUGGGCGUAAAGGGUGCGUAGGCGGUAUGACAAGUCUAACGUGAAAUGCUGGAGCUCAACUCCGGAACUGCGUAGGAAACUGUCAUGCUAGAGGGUUGGAGGGGGGACUGGAAUUCUCGGUGUAGCAGUGAAAUGCGUAGAUAUCGAGAGGAACACCCGUGGCGAAGGCGAGUCCCUAGACAACUCCUGACGCUGAGGCACGAAAGCUAGGGGAGCAAACAG
rnacentral:rRNA from 1 species